AGUAAGCACCGGCUAACUCCGCGCCAGCAGCCGCGGUAAUACGGAGGGUGCAAGCGUUGUCCGGAUUCACUGGGUGUAAAGGGCGUGUAGGCGGGGGAAUGUGUCGGAAGUGAAAUCGCGCGGCUUAACCGUGUCAAUGGCUUCCGAAACUAUUCCUCUUGAAUGCGGGAGAGGCAGAUGGAAUUCCUGGUGUAGCGGUGGAAUGCGUAGAUAUCAGGAAGAACACCGGUGGCGAAGGCGGUCUGCUGGCCCGUGAUUGACGCUGAGGCGCGAAAGUGUGGGGAGCAAACAGGAUUAGAUACCCUGGUAGUCCACACCGUAAACGAUGGUCACUAGUUGUCGGGGGAUUCGACCCCCUCGGUAACGACGCUAACGCA
rnacentral:rRNA from 1 species